GAGUAAUAUAUCGGAACGUGCCCUAGAGUGGGGGAUAACGCAGCGAAAGUUGCGCUAAUACCGCAUACGAUCUAAGGAUGAAAGCAGGGGACCGCAAGGCCUUGUGCUCCUGGAGCGGCCGAUAUCUGAUUAGCUAGUUGGUGGGGUAAAGGCCCACCAAGGCAUCGAUCAGUAGCUGGUCUGAGAGGACGACCAGCCACACUGGAACUGAGACACGGUCCAGACUCCUACGGGAGGCAGCAGUGGGGAAUUUUGGACAAUGGGCGCAAGCCUGAUGCAGCAACGCCGCGUGAGGGACGAAGGCCUUCGGGUUGUAAACCUCUUUUAGUAGGGAAGAAGCGACUGGGUUUUCCUGGGAGUGACGGUACCUGCAGAAAAAGCACCGGCUAACUACGCGCCGGCAGCCGCGGUAAUACGUAGGGUGCAAGCGUUGUCCGGAAUUAUUGGGCGUAAAGAGCUCGUAGGCGGUUUGUCGCGUCUGCUGUGAAAACCCGAGGCUCAACCUCGGGCCUGCAGUGGGUAC
rnacentral:rRNA from 1 species